rnacentral:rRNA from 1 species
UACGGAGGGGACUAGCGUUGUUCGGAAUUACUGGGCGUAAAGCGCACGUAGGCGGAUUUGUAAGUCAGGGGUGAAAUCCCGGGGCUCAACCUCGGAACUGCCUUUGAUACUGCAAAUCUCGAGUCCGGAAGAGGUGAGUGGAACUGCGAGUGUAGAGGUGAAAUUCGUAGAUAUUCGCAAGAACACCAGUGGCGAAGGCGGCUCACUGGUCCGGUUCUGACGCUGAGGCGCGAAAGCGUGGGGAGCAAACAGG